AUUCUUCGGAUGAUCGAUCGGUGACUGAGCGGCGGACGGGUGAGUAACGCGUGGGUGACCUGCCCCAUACCGGGGGAUAACAGCUGGAAACGGCUGCUAAUACCGCAUAAGCGCACGAGGAGACAUCUCCUUGUGUGAAAAAACUCCGGUGGUACAGGAUGGGCCCGCGUCUGAUUAGCUGGUUGGCAGGGGUAACGGCCUACCAAGGCAACGAUCAGUAGCCGGUCUGAGAGGAUGAACGGCCACAUUGGAACUGAGACACGGUCCAAACUCC
rnacentral:rRNA from 1 species